rnacentral:rRNA from 1 species
CCUACGGGGGGCUGCAGUGGGGAAUAUUGGACAAUGGGCGAAAGCCUGAUCCAGCCAUGCCGCGUGUGUGAAGAAGGCCUUCGGGUUGUAAAGCACUUUCAGUGGGGAAGAAAGCCUUGGGGCUAAUACCCUCGAGGAAGGACAUCACCCACAGAAGAAGCACCGGCUAACUCCGUGCCAGCAGCCGCGGUAAUACGGAGGGUGCGAGCGUUAAUCGGAAUUACUGGGCGUAAAGCGCGCGUAGGCGGUCUGAUAAGCCGGUUGUGAAAGCCCCGGGCUCAACCUGGGAACGGCAUCCGGAACUGUCAGGCUAGAGUGCAGGAGAGGAAGGUAGAAUUCCCGGAGUAGCGGUGAAAUGCGUAGAGAUCGGGAGGAAUACCAGUGGCGAAGGCGGCCUUCUGGACUGACACUGACGCUGAGGUGCGAAAGCGUGGGUAGCAAACAGGAUUAGAUACCCUAGUAGUC